GAUGAACGCUGGCGGCGUGCCUAAUACAUGCAAGUCGAGCGAACGGACGAGAAGCUUGCUUCUCUGAUGUUAGCGGCGGACGGGUGAGUAACACGUGGAUAACCUACCUAUAAGACUGGGAUAACUUCGGGAAACCGGAGCUAAUACCGGAUAAUAUUUUGAACCGCAUGAUUCAAAAGUGAAAGACGGUCUUGCUGUCACUUAUAGAUGGAUCCGCGCUGCAUUAGCUAGUUGGUAAGGUAACGGCUUACCAAGGCAACGAUGCAUAGCCGACCUGAGAGGGUGAUCGGCCACACUGGAACUGAGACACGGUCCAGACUCCUACGGGAGGCAGCAGUAGGGAAUCUUCCGCAAUGGGCGAAAGCCUGACGGAGCAACGCCGCGUGAGUGAUGAAGGUCUUCGGAUCGUAAAACUCCGUUAUUAGGGAAGAACAUAUGUGUAAGUAACUGUGCACAUCUUGACGGUACCUAAUCAGAAAGCCACGGCUAACUACGUG
rnacentral:rRNA from 1 species